ACGGAAGGAAGCAAUUACUUCACCAUAUCCCAGAGCAGCACAGGGGCCGUGAGAGACAGCAUGGCAGAUAGCUCUGGAACGGCUCUCUGACGUGCACCAAAUACUCGGCAUAAACAAGCGCUUUUCCAUUCCAUCGAAAUGCGACUGCCUCGGCCUCGAAUCGAACCUUCAAGCAAAGCGCUCUAAAAGUACACGGUGGGAAGACAAAAUUGAAAUGCAUUGGUUCCGGUGUUUUCAAUGCUUCGUUUUAUUUGUUCCUCCCUUUCGUAGUAACGAUAUAGAACACGCUCGUAAUACACAAACAAUCCGCAGGCCAUCAGCUGCGACGGAAAGGCCGGGAAACAAUUGUUGUAUCACACGGAGACAUGCACCGUACGUACGCAUCAUACAGCUGCGAGGAGCCCAUGUAGGUUUUCAUUUUCCCCUUCUCCAAAUAAAGUAUUUUUUUCCUUCAUUCUUGGGGGGGUUCUACCACCUCGCUCUGAAUGUACUGCUGUUAUUAUUUCUUUACAUUUGCUAGUCGUUCGCUCCGAAGAACCGGCCAUGUAGCACGACACUCUGCUGCGUAGCACCUAGCCGGCCUCCGUCACUAGAGGGCACGAACUGUUUUAACUGCGCACCCACCGUCGCAGCACAAGCGUCGGCGAGCCGCCGGCUGUUGCAAUCGACUGCGUGCGCGUGAUGCCCGCGGCAGCGUUGCCGGAUGCGAAGGACGUGCGCCGGCUGCAAUCGACGCAGCCCGAUAGCGCAGCCCGCGACUGGGCCCACACAGCGGCGAUAGUGUUUGCACGUGGUGAGCGCUCGACGUCUCCGUACAAAAGACUCGCGCCAUUCUGCACCCAUGAAUGGCGACCGCGGCGGAAUCUGUGACGUUUGCUCGCGGCGACGUGGGCUGGGCGGCACACGCAGCGUAUGGCCACGAAACUGCCGUUUCCUGCAUCAAAUAAUUGUGCUGGCCGACCAAUGCACUGGCAUUGUCACACACAUGGCCGGCUAUGUUUUCAAUAAGGAUGCAUGUACCUCUGCGUGAAGCAGUUUUCAACCGUUAGUGCAGGAGCCUCGACAGAACGGCGCCCAAGGAACCCCUUUCGAAGAGCUGAGUCACUUUUCGGUUGAAAAGUGCCGCACAGCACAGCAGAGGAGCUUAGUGCUGGAAAUGUCGGCACACCUUGAUCGAGUGAGAACUUUCUCGGCAUUGCUGGAGCUGGUCAGCCUCGGUCUUUGCCAACGAUCGCUGCGCAUUUUUUUUUCUUCUUUUUUUUUUGUGCGCGGUGCAACUGCACUUUCUUUGCGGUUGUCGAGUCCGGAAAGACUUCCUGCGAAAGUUCUUUUUCAGAUGCUUGAACGCUCAAAAUACUGGGAAUAAAGGCUAAUCACCCUGC